rnacentral:lncRNA from 1 species
UCGAACCUAAUAGUCAUCAAGCAAAACAAGAAGAGACGCUGAGACGUCAAAAGAAAGAAAAAGGGUUGCACGCACACAACACCAUAAAAAAGAGAAAAGGGCGCCCGGAGAGAUCUCGCUCGAUCUCCUGCCUACAUAUCUCAUCUGGUAUGAGAAUCAGGGCGACGUAGUUCCCCUUAACAGGGGAGAAACUCUCCUAACCAGAGACCA